GGAAGGGCGUCCCGAUCCGGUGACGGGCCCGGAUUUCAAAUCCGGUGAGACGCGUCAGACGUGUUUGGUGGGUUCGACUCCCACGCUCUUCC
rnacentral:tRNA from 1 species